GGAAGGGGUGUAUUUAUUAGUUUUAUUAGAUAAAACCACGCCGGCCCAACGCUGGUUUGGGUGAUUCAUAAUACUUUUCGAAUUCGCAUGCCCUUGUGCUGGCGAUGUUUCAUUCAAAUUUCUGCCCUAUCAACUUCGAUGGUAGGAUAGAGGCCUACCAUGGUUUUAACGGGUAACGGGAAUUAGGGUUCGAUUCCGGAGAGGGAGCCUGAGAAACGGCUACCACAUCCAAGGAAGGCAGCAGGCGCGCAAAUUACCCAAUCCCGAUACGGGGAGGUAGUGACAAUAAAUAACAAUACAGGGCUUUUCAGUCUUGUAAUUGGAAUGAGUACAAUUUAAAUCUCUUAACGAGGAACAAUUGGAGGGCAAGUCUGGUGCCAGCAGCCGCGGUAAUUCCAGCUCCAAUAGCGUAUAUUAAAGUUGUUGCAGUUAAAAAGCUCGUAGUUAAAUUUUAGGCCCGGUUGGACGGUCUGCCUUUGGGUUUGUACUGUCCUGACUGGGCCUUACCUUCUGGUUAGCUGUCGUGUUGUUUACUCAGCGCGGCAGGGAACCAGGACUUUUAC
rnacentral:rRNA from 1 species